UAUCUGAGCAAGCGGUGGAAAUUUUCCAUGCAGCCCGGCUAUAGUAAAUAUAGCAGCAGAAGCGUAAUUAACAACGCACUGUGAGACAG
rfam:Helcococcus kunzii ATCC 51366 genomic scaffold supercont1.1, whole genome shotgun sequence.